rnacentral:lncRNA from 1 species
UGGAAACUUGUACAUGAAUGUUCAUAGAGGCUUUGUUUUUAAUAGCAGAAAACUGGAAAUUACCCAAAUUUCUUUUAAGGGGUGAAUGGUUAAAUAAACUUUCAUAUGUCUAUACCAUGGGAUACUACUCAGCAAUAAAAGGAAAACUACUGAUACAUUCAGCAACUUGGAAGAACAUGAAGGUAGUUAUGCUAAGUGAAAAAAGCCAAUCUCAAUAGGAUACAUAUUGCAUGAUUCCAUUUACAAAACAUUCAUAUGUUAUUAUAACUGUAGAUAGGGAGAAGGGACUGUUGGUCACCAAGAGUUAGGAAUGGGAGGAGGAGGAUGUGGAUGUGGAUAAAAGGAUAGUACGAGGGAGCCUGUGGAAAUGGAAUGCUCACAUUUCUUGACUGUGGUGGUUGUUACAUAGAUCUACAUAUGUGAUAAAAUUGCAUAGACCCACCCAUCACACUGGUGAAAUCUGAAUUAGCUCUGUGCUUUGUACCAAUGUCAGUUUCCUGGUUUUGAUAGAUACACUAUGUUGAUGCAAGAUGUUACCUACGUAGGGAAGGCUGUGUUAAGUGUACACAGGACCUCCCUGUACAUUUCUUAAUAUCUUCCUGUGAAUCUAUAAUUAUUUCAGAAUAAAAAUUUAAAAAUACUGUUUAUUCACAUUAAAAAUAUUCAUGUAAUGUAGGAAAAAACUUAGGAAGAUACACACCUAAUUAAUAAUAGAUUUUAGUUCUGGGAGGUGUGAUAGAUUGGCAUGGGCAAGGGAAAAUGAGUGCUUUCUACUCUAUAAAAUUGUACUUACAGUAUGUGUCACUUUUGC